rnacentral:rRNA from 1 species
ACUCAAAGGAAUUGACGGGGGCCCGCACAAGCGGUGGAGCAUGUGGUUCAAUUCGACGCAACGCGAAGAACCUUACCAGCCCUUGACAUGGAAGCUACCGGAGCCAGAGACGGCUCUUUCGGUUCGGCCGGGCUUUCACAGGUGCUGCAUGGCUGUCGUCAGCUCGUGUCGUGAGAUGUUGGGUUAAGUCCCGCAACGAGCGCAACCCUCGUCUCCAGUUGCCAUCAGGUUAUGCUGGGCACUUUGGAGAAACUGCCGGUGACAAGCCGGAGGAAGGUGGGGAUGACGUCAAGUCCUCAUGGCCCUUACGGGCUGGGCUACACACGUGCUACAAUGGCGGUGACAGUGGGAUGCGAUGGGGCGACCCGGAGCCGAUCCUAAAAAGCCGUCUCAGUUCGGAUUGCACUCUGCAACUCGAGUGCAUGAAGGUGGAAUCGCUAGUAAUCGAGGAUCAGCAUGCCUCGGUGAAUACGUUCCCGGGCCUUGUACACACCGCCCGU